rnacentral:rRNA from 1 species
CUAUCUCAGUUCGGAUUGGAGGCUGAAACCCGCCUCCAUGAAGUUGGAUUCGCUAGUAAUCGCGCAUCAGCCAUGGCGCGGUGAAUACGUUCCCGGGCCUUGUACACACCGCCCGUCAAGCCAUGGGAGCUAGGGGUGCCUGAAGUUCGUGACCGCAAGGAUCGACCUAGGGCAAAACCGGUGACUGGGGCUAAGUCGUAACAAGGUAAC